rnacentral:lncRNA from 1 species
UCUGGAUUAACUUGUGCUUUUCAAAAAUAUGAUUUAUUCAUUUUUUUCAGUGUUAGCCCGGGCCAAAAGAAACCCCAAUCCAAUCCAAUAUCCUUCAAACUCCCACCUAUUCCUUCCAGUUUCGCCAUUCGAAUCUCUCUCUCAAACUCCUAUAAACAUAGAUGGACCACCAUAGACACAGUCUCACUAGGCGUCGAUUGUCGCCUUCCUCCAAUUAGGCAUCAGCGAUUUUGUUUGGAACAAGCUAGAUUCUAGAAGGUCUCUCAUUUAUCGGCCUCUAACUAUCUCUGAAAUUCUUGUGGUUUCUUUUCAUUUUCAAGCCUUAGAUGGCAUACGCCUUCGAUUCCAGCAGUGAUCCGACAGACGGCAACAUGGGUGCAGAAUAAUAAUGUGAAUUCCUCAAGGCCAUCUCGGUUCUCUUUUCUUUUUAUUUGUUUAAUGUUAUAAUCUUUUCUUUUUAACAUACAUUGAACCUAAAGUUAAGAUAAGCUAGAUGACCUAUGAAUCUUUUCUUGAGUCGUGUGUUUGAUUUAAACGUUGGAAUAAUUUCAUAUGUGGCCUUCACAUUCAAUUGUAAAAUUUUACGGGUUAGAUGUAUAGCUGAUAAAAAUAUUUGUGAUUGGGUCAAAUUUGUUAAGUGAUCAAUUGGGUCUUUUACACCUUACGAGUUCUAAUUAAUAUGAUGUAGUAAUUUUAAGUAUGUAGGCCAAAGAUAAAUCCUAAUUAGAAUUAUAGUCGUAAUGGGACGGCUCAAUUAUUUCAUAUAUAUAAAGGUUAGGUCUCUUCUCCUCUCCAUAUGUUUUAUUGGCUUGCCCCAUUGAUAGCUAAUACUUUGUGAGGAGUAUGGAGGAGAAGAUCUUGGCUGCUAUUACAACUAUUAUUCAUAUUAACAAUGGUUUCCGCAGGUAUGAAUUUGUUUUAUUAAUUUAUUAUAUUGUGAUUCUCGAUUCUUAACAUGAUCAAAAUUAAAUUCAACAAUUGGUGAUGCCUUCAUGUUAAGAUCGAAAUCCUUCAUGAAAUUUUUUUCCUAUCUCACGUUGAAAAACGUCUUCUGUGCAUACAUUAAAAUUAUAUGUGUAAUGUAUAGUUCAUUGUAUAACACGUACGUAGAUUUACUGUUACCAAUGCGUCAUUGAAUUAAU